GCCCAGUGAUGAGACCAAGGCGAAUAUGAGCUCACUGAAUGAGAGUAGGGUCCUUUUUGCUUUGACUGGCAGGUAAUCUUGGCAGUGCAGAGGAGGAUUCCUGCUCUGCUGUAAGGGCCUGCCGACAGCGACUGGGCUCGACCCCAAAUUAUUCCUUUAAAGUCAUAGUGGAGUAAUCCCAGGGAUGAACCUUACAGCAUGUGUGUAUGUGUGUGUGUGUUGGUGUGUGGGGAAUGUAUGUGUAAGAGGCAAAAAGUUUUUUCUACUCUCAUUUCUGUUCAGUGAGCUAUGAGCUGCUUCUUUGGUAAUCUGAGGGCC